rnacentral:rRNA from 1 species
GCAUCUUUGUGGCUCAAGUUUUUAAGGGCACACGGUGGAUGCCUUGGCACCAGGAACCGAAGAAGGACGUAGGAAUCUGCGAUAAGCCUCGGGGAGUCGAUAACCAGACUGUGAUCCGAGGAUUUCCGAAUGGGGAAACCCGGCUGGAGGCAAGUCCAGUCACUCCCGCCUGAACACAUAGGGCGGGUAGAGGGAACGUGGGGAAGUGAAACAUCUCAGUACCCACAGGAAGAGAAAGCAACCGCGAUUCCGUGAGUAGUGGCGAGCGAAAGCGGAAGAGGCUAAACCUCAGUUGUGUGAUACCUGUCAGGGGUUGCAGCUGGGGGGUCGUGGGACUUUUCGGUCAGUGCUGACACGCUGGCAUGGAGUCAGAAAUGCGCGUUGUAGUCGAAGGGCAUUGAAAGGCCCGGCACAGAGGGUGCUACCCCCGUAGACGAAACGAUGCGCACUCCAGAGAAGUAUCCCAAGUAGCACGGGGCCCGAGAAAUCCCGUGUGAAUCUGGCGGGACCACCCGCUAAGCCUAAAUAUUCCCUGGUGACCGAUAGCGGACAAGUACCGUGAGGGAAAGGUGAAAAGUACCCCGGGAGGGGAGUGAAAUAGAUCCUGAAACCGUGUGCCUACAAUCCGUCGGAGCCUCCUUGUGGGGUGACGGCGUGCCUUUUGAAGAAUGAGCCUGCGAGUUAGUGCUCAGUGGCGAGGUUAACCCGUGUGGGGAAGCCGUAGCGAAAGCGAGUCCGAAUAGGGCGUUUUAGUCGCUGGGUCUAGACCCGAAGCGGAGUGAUCUACCCAUGGCCAGGUUGAAGCGACGGUAAGACGUCGUGGAGGACCGAACCCACUUAGGUUGAAAACUGAGGGGAUGAGCUGUGGGUAGGGGUGAAAGGCCAAUCAAACUCCGUGAUAGCUGGUUCUCCCCGAAAUGCAUUUAGGUGCAGCGUCACGUGUUUCUUACCGGAGGUAGAGCUACUGGAUAGCUGAUGGGCCUCACCAGGUUACUGACGUUAGCCAAACUCCGAAUGCCGGUAAGUGAGAGCGUGGCAGUGAGACUGCGGGGGAUAAGCUCCGUAGUCGAGAGGGAAACAGCCCAGACCACC